rnacentral:rRNA from 1 species
AUUGAACGCUGGCGGCAGGCCUAACACAUGCAAGUCGAACGAGUGGCGGACGGGUGAGUAAUGUCUGGGAAACUGCCCGAUGGAGGGGGAUAACUACUGGAAACGGUAGCUAAUACCGCAUACCAUCGGAUGUGCCCAGAUGGGAUUAGCUAGUAGGUGGGGUAACGGCUCACCUAGGCGACGAUCCCUAGCUGGUCUGAGAGGAUGACCAGCCACACUGGAACUGGGACACGGUCCAGACUCCCACGGGGAGGAACAGUGGGGGAUAUUGCACAAUGGGCGCAAGCCUGAAGCAGCCAUGCCGCGUGUAUGAAGAAGGCCUUCGGGUUGUAAAGUACUUUCAGCGAGGAGGCGUUACUCGCAGAAGGAGCACCGGCUAACUCCGGGCCAGCAGCCGCGGUAAUUAC